rnacentral:rRNA from 1 species
UACAGAGGAGCCAAGCGUUGUCCGGAUUGACUGGGCGUAAAGCGCACGCAGGCGGUUGCGCGCGUGGGGUGUGAAAUCGUGGCCGCUUAACGGCCAGGCGCCAUCCCAUACGGCGCGACUGGAGUGAUGCAGAGGUCGAUGGAAUUGCCGGUGUAGUGGUGAAAUGCGUAGAGAUCGGCAGGAACACCCAGGGGGAAACCA